AGCGAACGCUGGCGGCAGGCCUAACACAUGCAAGUCGAGCGGAGAUGAGGUGCUUGCACCUUAUCUUAGCGGCGGACGGGUGAGUAAUGCUUAGGAAUCUGCCUAUUAGUGGGGGACAACAUUCCGAAAGGAAUGCUAAUACCACAUACGUCCUACGGGAGAAAGCAGGGGAUCUUCGGACCUUGCGCUAACAGAUGAGCCUAAGUCGGAUUAGCUAGUUGGUGGGGUAAAGGACUACCAAGGCGACGAUCUGUAGCGGGUCUGAGAGGAUGGUCCGCCACACUGGGACUGAAACACGGCCCAGACUCCUACGGGAGGCAGCAGUGGGGAAUAUUGGACAAUGGGGGAAACCCUGAUCCAGCCAUGCCGCGUGUGUGAAGAAGGCCUUAUGGUUGUAAAGCACUUUAAGCGAGGAGGAGGCUACUGAGACUAAUACUCUUGGAUAGUGGACGUUACUCGCAGAAUAAGCACCGGCUAACUCUGUGCCAGCCGCCGCGGUAACAC
rnacentral:rRNA from 1 species